rnacentral:tRNA from 1 species
GGCCCGUUAUCUCAGCUGGUCAGACCGUGGUGCUCAUAACACCAAGGUCAUGGGUUCCAUCCCCAUGCAGGCCA